rnacentral:misc_RNA from 1 species
GUUUUCUCUUAUUCCGCUCUCGGAGUCAGAGAUAGAAAGGCAUAUUCCACGAUUCCCCACUCCCCGAUUUUCCAUUCAUUCCUUCCUCUUCCUAUUCCUCCGAUUUCAAUUCCCUCUUCCCUUUCAAUUUCUUCUCUCAAUCACCGCCGAUUACCCAUCCAUCAACGCAAACAUGCAUUCUAAUCACUUGCUUCUCGAGGAGCCCAUUCGCAUGGCCUCCAUCCUCGAGCCAUCCAAGUCUAGUUUCUUUCCUGCUAUGACUAAGAUCGUUGGGACUCUUGGUCCAAGGUCUCGAUCUGUUGACAUAAUCUCUGGCUGUCUCAAGGCUGGAAUGUCGGUUGCUCGUUUCGACUUUUCAUGGGGUAACCCUGAAUAUCAUCAGGAGACUUUGGAGAAUUUGAAGGCGGCCGUGAAGAGUACCAAGAAGCUUUGCGCUGUUAUGCUUGACACUGUGGGCCCUGAGUUGCAAGUAAUAAACAAAACUGAGAAAUCCAUUUCACUUCAAGAAGAUGCAAUAGUUGUCCUUACACCCAAUCAAGAUCUUGAGGCGACUUCAGAGCUCUUGCCUAUUAACUUUACAGGACUUUCAAAGGCUGUGAAGAAAGGAGACACCAUUUUCGUGGGUCAAUACCUUUUCACCGGAAGUGAAUCAACCUCUGCAUGGCUGGAGGUUUCUGAAGUCAAAGGUGAUGAUGUUGUUUGUGUAAUUAAAAACUCUGCCACAUUGGCUGGAUCACUGUUCACUUUGCAUGGCUCUCAAAUUCAUAUUAACCUUCCUACACUUUCUGAUGAGGAUAAGGAGGUUAUAUCGAGUUGGGGAGUGCAAAACAAAAUUGAUUUCCUUUCACUAUCAUAUACUAGACAUGCCGAAGAUGUUCGACAAGCUCGUGAAUUCCUUUCUAAGUUAGGCGACCUUAGCCAAACCCAAAUCUUUGCCAAGAUCGAGACUGUUGAGGGAUUAACCCAUUUUGA